UUCCUAGGUGAUUCUCUUCAAGGGGCCAAUAAUACUCCCUCGCUCCACCCUUAGGAACUUGGAAUAAAAUCUGGCAUGCCUAUGGUCUGUAGGGGUGAAGAGAUGUUUUAUUUUGACCUUUUGACUGGACAGAAUA
ensembl:snoRNA small nucleolar RNA SNORA67